UUGGAUUGGAUUGGACUCUGUCUAUGAAAACCAGCAAAUGUCAUUCAGCUAUUGAAAUCUCCACUAAGAUAACAACUCUGAGGCUAUAAGGGAGUUAGGUGGCGCCUAGGCGGCCUGGGCGGAUCUAGGCGGGGCCUGGGCGCCCUGGGCUUUUCUAGGCGGCCUGGGCGGGUCUGGGCGUCCUUUUUUUUCCAAAUGAAGACAGACGAAGCUUGCACUGGCAGAGGAAUGUGGUGCGCGAGUGAAAUGAAGAGAUAGAGAAACGAACACGAAGCUUGCACUCAUAGUCCAAUCUUCAAAAUUCAAAUACUCGGUCUUGAGCCUCUCUCUCAACUCAAGCUUGGAUUUUUUUUCUUCGGUUUCGGCUGCUGUGUUGAUUCAAUUUUUUUGGGUGCUUUUCUGUUAUUGAAGUUGGCAACGUCAGAUGAACAUCCAAGGCCGUUUCUUAGUAUGCCAGAAGAAGCCCAGCAGAUGGUUCGUUAACCUGAGGCACACAUUGCAGUUUGGCAUUGGAUUACACCAUGCCGGUCUGAAUGACAAAGAUGGAUCUCUGGUUGAGGAGCUUUUUGCAGACAACAAGAUUCAGGCAUUUCUGUCUUACCUCAGUAUUGGUUUGUACCAGCACAUUGGCAUGGGUUGUAAACCUUCCAGGUCAUCAUCUGGUCAUUAUUAAGAUGCUGCUGUGACAUGAGCAUAGUCUUCUACAGAUGUUUAAUCCAGCUUAAUAUGGCUUGGACAAUACUGAACCUGAGUUUGAUAUAAAGUGCAUAAGGACUGCUUAGAUGAUCCGCAUGUCAAAGCCAAUCUGCUAUUUCAGGCACAUUUCUCGCAGUUAGAAUUACCAAUCAGUGAUUAUGUCACAGACGUGAAGUCAGUAUUGGAUCAAAGUAUGCGAAUCAUCCAGGCCAUGAUAGAUAUAUAUGUGCUAAUAGUGGGUGGAUUUCAAGCUCAAUUACUAGCAUGAAUCUUCUGCAAAUGGUCGUGCAGGUACUUGCCUAGAAUAAAAGACGAGUGCGGGUGCGAAUUGGGCAUUCUGCCUUGUUUAUAUUAUUACAUUCUACAGCUAGUGCUAGUCCUCUUUCCUGUAUAUUAUCUUGUAUUUUUUUUUUCCUUUGUCCUCCUAGAGAAGCUUUUCUUUUGUGUUUUUCCUUUUCACAGUACAUUACCCCAAAAAAUAUUGGGCCAUUUCAGCAGGACUCAAACCUUCAGCUUUUGGGUAACUUUAUAUUUCUCUUUAUUAAAAUUGAGUAUAUUGUGGGAUAUGAUUGCCAGUAUUAAUGUAUGUUUGGAUGCAGCUUACUUAUCAAAUCGGAGUCCUCACGAAAUGUUGGAUCUCCUACACUUGCUAGAUAAAAGAGAGAUAGGACCAUUUGUCCUAACGAAAUUGAAGUUGAAGAACCACGGGAACGAUUGUGAAAAUUAAAGGACUCAAAUGCAAAUCGGGUCUAAGUUCAUAGACUAAUAAAACGAUUAACCCGCUUACAAAAUUAUAUUCAUUCCCAUUAGUUCCCUCCCUCCUUCCCUAAUACAUUGG